GAGGGGAGUGAAAUAGAACCUGAAACCCUGCACUUACAAGCUGUGGAAGCACAGUUCUGGUGUGUCCACGUACUUUUUGGAGAACGGGUCAACGAGUUAUGUUAAGUAGUAAGGUUAAUCACUUAAGGUGCGAAGCCGUAGCGAAAGCGAGUUUUAACUGAGCGUUCAGGUACUUGACGUAGACCCGAAACCGGGCGUCCGACCGAUGGGCAGGAUGAGGCUAAAGUAGAAUUUCGUUGAGGUCCGAACCCACGAGCG
rnacentral:rRNA from 1 species